rnacentral:rRNA from 1 species
UACGUAGGGGGCGAGCGUUGUCCGAAGUUACUGGGCGUAAAGCGCGCGUAGGCGGCUCUUUAAGUGACUGGUGAAAUCCCCGGGCUCAACCCGGGGUAGUCUGGUCAUACUGGGGAGCUAGAGUGUGGGAGGGGAGAGCGGAACUCCUGGUGUAGCGGUGAUAUGCGUAGAGAUCAGGAAGAACACCCGUGGCGAAGGCGGCUCUCUGGACCAUAACUGACGCUGAGGUGCGAAAGCCAGGGGAGCGAACGGG